rnacentral:rRNA from 1 species
UACGAAGGGUGCUAGCGUUGUUCGGAAUUACUGGGCGUAAAGAGCGCGUAGGCGGUUAUACAAGUCAGGGGUGAAAUCCCAGAGCUUAACUCUGGAACUGCCUUUGAAACUGUAUAGCUGGAGUGUGUGAGGGGAUAGCGGAAUUCUUAAUGUAGAGGUGAAAUUCGUAGAUAUUAAGAGGAACACCGGUGGCGAAGGCGGCUAUCUGGCACACAACUGACGCUGAGGCGCGAAAGCGUGGGGAUCAACAGGAUAAGAUACCGAGUAGUCCGAGUACCAACGAUCUCCUUCACGAACCC